UACGAAGGGGGCUAGCGUUGUUCGGAAUCACUGGGCGUAAAGCGCACGUAGGCGGAUCUUUAAGUCAGGGUGAAAGUCCCGAGCUCAACCUCGGAACUGCCUUUGAUACUGGGGAUCUCGAGUCCGGGAGAGGUGAGUGGAACUGCGAGUGUAGAGGUGAAAUUCGUAGAUAUUCGCAAGAACACCAGUGGCGAAGGCGGCUCACUGGCCCGGAACUGACGCUGAGGUGCGAAAGCGUGGGGAGCAAACAGG
rnacentral:rRNA from 1 species